ensembl:lncRNA
CUGCUCUUUACUCAUGAAGACACACAUGAGAAUGGUGAAAAAAGAGAAAGGAAAAGCAAUUGCUUGUGGAUAUGAAACACGACUGUGAAAACUAGUUUUAUUUUAAGCCCUUGGAGAACAUUACAACGUGAGUCAAAGCCAUUUCCUACUACCUGUAGAGCAUAGGUUUGCAGCAAGCAUAAAGAAGCAAAUGCAAAAGGAGUGAAAAUGAGAGCAGCAUGGGUCUGCUGCGUGCUGCCAUCGUGGCAAAGGUCCGCCUGGGGCAGCUAAUGAGGCUGGAAAAAGAGCUUUGGAUGUUCCACGCUUAAUCUCCAUCAAAACUAGGUUUAAGGUCCUGUUUUCAUUUCGAAGGCUUCUGGCAGAGGUGGAGCUGAUGAAGCCACUGGAUUUUUUCUAUCUAGCGGAGACGUGAGGGAAGUGACUGAAGUGUUUCCAGGUGUUUUGACUUUAGGAGAGUCUUCAGCUCGCUGGUGGUUUGUGCUCCAGGUUCAGGGUUCGCCCACAGUUGCUGCCCUCCCGGGCUGCUCGGUGGCUGCUGAGUCUGUUGGCAGCCUGCAGAACCCCCGUGAGAGCCGAAAGAGCCUGGCUGUCCCACAGAGACAGUUGGAUCAGUGUAACCACUCCAGGCUUUGGUGCCAAAGUGCACGACAGCUCCAGGAAUGACCUCUGAAGAGGUAGUUUCAACCUCUGGUUUAUCUGUAAUUGCGCUGGAAAAUGAGCCUGAUGUGCUGACCUCUCAUUUUCACAUCCCCAGCUGUGAGUUUGUGAGGCAGGCUGUGUGUGUCUCAGUAUUAAAUAAUGAGAUGGAGUAACACAGGCGAUCAUCAUACGGUGUUCACACGUCUGCAAUGCACGGAGUCAGAGACGGUCCAACAAAGUGCUUCAGAAAAGGCCUCGCCUUUGGAUUUUUGUGGAGAUGUUGAUCUACAGAAAAGUUUCUAUCUCCAUGCAGAUAUUUGCAGCUCUCCCCACCCAGCUGUGCCAUCUCUCAACCUCGACCUUCCCAGCACUCCCCAGGCAGGUCCUGGCCCUUCACUGUGGUGUGGCAAAAUUCAGUCUUGCCUACGCAGCUGAAAAACUUUGGCUCUUCAUAAUAACACCAGCUUGCCUGCAGGGAAUAAGGUGGAAGCUGGACCACGUCAAGGCCUUUUAUAUCCUGCAAAGGUAAAUGCUUGGGAUGGAAACUGAGAUGUACUCAGCUGGUGAAAGCUUCUACCAAGCUCUUGGCAUUGACACUCUCCUCCCAUCAGAAAGACAAUACAAAUACAAACAGUUCUGGAUGAGCUGAAACUGAAGUGUGGAGCUUUUCUGGAGCAUAUUAAAAGAAAAGCCUGCUCAGACAUACCGUGGGAACUAAAGAGGCGUACGUGUCCAGCAACAGUUUGCUUCAUAGUGGAGACUGUGCAUGCAGG